rnacentral:rRNA from 1 species
GACGGAGGGUGCAAGCGUUGUUCGGAUUGACUGGGCGUAAAGGGCGUGUAGGCGGUCGGCCAAGUCUGAUGUGAAAGCCCGAGGCUCAGCCUCGGAAGUGCGUCGGAAACUAGUCGGCUGGAGCGCGAUAGAGGAGGGUGGAAUUCCUGGUGUAGCGGUGAAAUGCGUAGAUAUCAGGAGGAACACCGGCGGCGAAGGCGGCCCUCUGGAUCGUUGCUGACGCUGAUACGCGGAAGCGUGGGGAGCAAACAGG